AUGGAGAGUUUGAUCCUGGCUCAGGAUGAACGCUGGCGGUAUGCUUAACACAUGCAAGUCGUACGAGAGUUUUUAACUCUAGUGGCGGACGGGUGAGUAACACGUGAGAAUCUACCCUAAGGAGGGGAAUAACAGCUGGAAACGGUUGCUAAUACCCCAUAUGCCGAAAGGUAAAAGGAUUUAUCCACCUUAGGAAGAGCUCGCGCCUGAUUAGCUAGUUGGUGGGGUAAAGGCCCACCAAGGCCAUGAUCAGUAGCUGGUUUGAGAGGACGAUCAGCCACACUGGGACUGAGAC
rnacentral:rRNA from 11 species